rnacentral:misc_RNA from 1 species
UCGCGGCUUAUCACCGGCAGUCCCCUUAGAGUGCCCGGCAUUACCCGCUGGUAACUAAGGAUGAGGGUUGCGCUCGUUGCGGGACUUAACCCAACAUCUCACGACACGAGCUGACGACAGCCAUGCAACACCUGUGAUGGUCCAACUAAAUGACCAGCUAGUUUCCUAGCCGUAUGACCACCAUGUCAAGGUCUGGUAAGGUUUUUCGCGUAGCAUCGAAUUAAACCACAUGUUCCACCGCUUGUGCGGGUCCCCGUCAAUUCCGUUGAGUUUUAAUCUUGCGACCGUACUUCCCAGGCGGAGUGCUUAACGCGUUAGCUACGACACCAAAAUCUAGUUCUGAUAUCUAGCACUCAUCGUUUAGGGCGUGGACUAC